GAUGAAGAACGUAGCGAAAUGCGAUAAGUAGUGUGAAUUGCAGAAUUCAGUGAAUCAUCGAAUCUUUGAACGCACAUUGCGCCCUUUGGUAUUCCAAAGGGCAUGCCUGUUCGAGCGUCAUUUGUACCCUCAAGCUUUGCUUGGUGUUGGGCGUCUUGUCUCUAGCUUUGCUGGAGACUCGCCUUAAAGUAAUUGGCAGCCGGCCUACUGGUUUCGGAGCGCAGCACAAGUCGCACUCUCUAUCAGCAAAGGUCUAGCAUCCAUUAAGCCUUUUUUUCAACUUUUGACCUCGGAUCAGGUAGGGAUACCCGCUGAACUUAAGCAUGUCAAUAAGCGGAGGA
rnacentral:misc_RNA from 1 species